rnacentral:rRNA from 1 species
AUUGAACGCUGGCGGCAGGCCUAACACAUGCAAGUCGAACGGUAACAGGAAGCAGCUUGCUGCUUCGCUGACGAGUGGCGGACGGGUGAGUAAUGUCUGGGAAACUGCCUGAUGGAGGGGGAUAACUACUGGAAACGGUAGCUAAUACCGCAUAACGUCGCAAGACCAAAGAGGGGGACCUUAGGGCCUCUUGCCAUCGGAUGUGCCCAGAUGGGGUUAGCUAGUAGGGGGGGUAACGGCUCACCUAGGUGACGAUCCCUAGCUGGGCCGAGGGGAUGACCAGCCACACGUGAGCUGAGACACGGUCCAGACUCCGACGGGAGGCAGCGGUGGGGAAUAUUGCACAAGGGGCGCAAGCCUGAUGCAGCCAUGCCGCGUGUAUGAAGAAGGCCUUCGGGUUGUAAAGUACUUUCAGCGGGGAGGAAGGGAGUAAAGUUAAUACCUUUGCUCAUGGACGUUACCCGCAGAAGAAGCACCGGCUAACUCCGU